GAUGCUAAUACCGGAUAACAACAGAUGAUGCCUAUCAACNGUUUAAAAGAUGGUUCUGCUAUCACUCUUGGAUGGACCUGCGGUGCAUUAGCUAGUUGGUAGGGUAACGGCCUACCAAGGCGAUGAUGCAUAGCCGAGUUGAGAGACUGAUCGGCCACAUUGGGACUGAGACACGGCCCAAACUCCUACGGGAGGCAGCAGUC
rnacentral:rRNA from 1 species